UUUCCAGGAAGGGGGUGUUAUCUUGGGUUUAUGGCUAUCUUUAGCCAAAAGCAAGUCCCAGAGAGGGACUCAGCUCAGAGACAGCGUUUACUAACACUCCCAAAAGCUGGGGGUGUGUGCUCAAAACCUGGGGUCAGGGAUCCUGGUGGGACACAACAGCCUCUAAGGAGAGAUGGGGAUGGGACAAAUGUGUGUGACUCUGCUCAGAGUUCUGGAUUCCUGGGCCACUGUGAGGAGGAGAAUGGAGACAGGAGGAGGAAGUUGAAGUGCUGGGUGCUUCUAUAGGAAGUAGUAAAGGCUCCUAUAACCCUUUGGUGACUUCCAUCAGAUAUAAACAAAUGCUUCCAGCGAUGGAAAUCCAGGGCAGCAACCUUCUAUAUUCCAGAAUGCCAUUAAGA